CCUACGGGGGGCAGCAGUGGGGGAUAUUGCACAAUGGGGGGAACCCUGAUGCAGCGACGCCGCGUGAGCGAUGGAGUACUUCGGUAUGUAAAGCUCUGUCAGCAGGGAAGAAAAUGACGGUACCUGACCAAGAAGCCCCGGCUAAAUACGUGCCAGCAGCCGCGGUAAUACGUCGGGGGCAAGCGUUAUCCGGAUGUAAUGGGGGUAAAGGGAGCGUAGGCGGCAGGGCAAGCCUGAUGGGAAAGCCCGGGGGCGAACCCCGGGACUGCAUUGGAAACUGCCCUGCUGGAGUGCCGGAGGGGCAGGCGGAAUGCGUGGUGUAGCGGUGAAAUGCGUAGAUAUUAGGAGGAACACCAGUGGCGAAGGCGGCCUGCUGGACGGUGACUGACGCUGAGGCUCGAAAGCGUGGGGAGCAAACAGGAUUAGAUACCCUGGUAGUC
rnacentral:rRNA from 1 species